GGGGUUGUAGUUCAGCGUUAGAACACUUGCCUAGCAUGCAAGAGGCACUGGGUUCAAUCCCCAGCCACAUUA
rnacentral:tRNA from 1 species